rnacentral:hammerhead_ribozyme from 1 species
AUUCAUCUGACGAGUCCCAAAUAGGACGAAACGCUCAUCACACUGAAU